rnacentral:rRNA from 1 species
UACGGAGGGUGCAAGCGUUAUCCGGAUUCACUGGGUUUAAAGGGUGCGUAGGCGGACAGGUAAGUCCGUGGUGAAAUCUCUGAGCUUAACUCAGAAACUGCCAUGGAUACUAUUUGUCUUGAAUAUUGUGGAGGUAAGCGGAAUAUGUCAUGUAGCGGUGAAAUGCUUAGAUAUGACAUAGAACACCAAUUGCGAAGGCAGCUUACUACACAGUUAUUGACGCUGAGGCACGAAAGCGUGGGGAUCAAACAGG